CAAGGGCCAAAUUCCGUCCCCCCAUGGCGAAAAGCUCCCUCCUUUUCCUCCCCACGCCUCUUUAUUUCCCACCUCCCCCCUCGUCUCUCCGUCUCUUCGCCCCAACUGGCCUCGGCCUGUCCCUCCUCCAAGUCCACCCAUUCGCCUCAAUCGGCGCCUCCGGGUUCUCCAGCCUCCCUCCAGUCCCGCGAUCUCAGAGGACGUUUAAUUGCAUGAUAUGAAGUCUGUUUGUGGAUUCCCUUUUAUGCAUAAGAUGCAGUGCACAUGAUUUUUGCCCGUAGUGCUGCAACAUCAC